rnacentral:rRNA from 1 species
CGAGGCCUACGGGGGGCAGCAGUGAGGAAUAUUGGUCAAUGGGCGGGAGCCUGAACCAGCCAAGCCGCGUGAGGGAAGAAGGUACAGCGUAUCGUAACCCUCUUUUGUCAGGGAACAAAGGCGGGGACUAGUCCCCGGAUGAGGGUACCUGAAGAAAAAGCAUCGGCUAACUCCGUGCCAGCAGCCGCGGUAAUACGGAGGAUGCGAGCGUUAUCCGGAUUUAUUGGGUUUAAAGGGUGCGCAGGCGGAGGCACAAGUCAGCGGUAAAAUCGCGGGGCUCAACCCCGCUCCGCCGUUGAAACUGU